rnacentral:rRNA from 1 species
GAGUUUGAUCCUGGCUCAGGAUGAACGCUGGCGGCGUGCUUAACACAUGCAAGUCGAACGAAGCGCUUAAGAAUGAUUCUUCGGAUGAAGUCUUUUGUGACUUAGUGGCGGACGGGUGAGUAACGCGUGGGUAACCUGCCUCACACAGGGGGAUAACAGUUGGAAACGACCGCUAAUACCACAUAACCCGCUGGUGCCGCAUGGCACUGACGGAAAAGAUUUAUCGGUGUGAGAUGGACCCGCGUCUGAUUAGCCAGUUGGCAGGGUAACGGCCUACCAAAGCGACGAUCAGUAGCCGGCCUGAGAGGGUGAACGGCCACAUUGGGACUGAGACACGGCCCAAACUCCUACGGGAGGCAGCAGUGGGGAAUAUUGCACAAUGGGGGAAACCCUGAUGCAGCGACGCCGCGUGAGUGAAGAAGUAUUUCGGUAUGUAAGGCUCUAUCAGCAGGGAAGAAAAUGACGGUACCUGACCAAGAAGCCCCGGCUAACUACGUGCCAGCAGCCGCGGUAAUACGUAGGGGGCAAGCGUUAUCCGGAUUUACUGGGUGUAAAGGGAGCGUAGACGGUGAUGCAAGUCAGAAGUGAAAGCCCGGGGCUCAACUCCGGGACUGCUUUUGAAACUGUGUAACUGGAGUGCA